UACGUAUGGGGCAAGCGUUAUCCGGAUUUACUGGGUGUAAAGGGAGCGUAGGCGGCAGGGCAAGCCUGAUGUGAGAGCCCGGGGCUCAACCCCGGGACUGCAUUGGGAACUGCCCUGCUGGAGUGCCGGAGGGGCAGGCGGAAUUCCUAGUGUAGCGGUGAAAUGCGUAGAUAUUAGGAGGAACACCAGUGGCGAAGGCGGCCUGCUGGACGGUGACUGACGCUGAGGCUCGAAAGCGUGGGGAGCAAACAGG
rnacentral:rRNA from 1 species